CAGCCGCCACGGUAAUACGAAGGGGGCUAGCGUUGUUCGGAAUUACUGGGCGUAAAGCGCACGUAGGCGGAUAUUUAAGUCAGGGGUGAAAUCCCAAGGCUCAACCUUGGAACUGCCUUUGAUACUGUUUGCCUUGAGUUCGAGAGAGGUAAGUGGAACUGCGAGUGUAGAGGUGAAAUUCGUAGAUAUUCGCAAGAACACCAGUGGCGAAGGCGGCUUACUGGCUCGAAACUGACGCUGAGGCGCGAAAGCGUGGGGAGCAAACAGGAUUAGAUACCCGUGUAGUCCCUGUCUCUUAUAC
rnacentral:rRNA from 1 species